UCCGUAGGUGGAUAAUUAAGUCAGAGGUGAAAUCCUGCAGCUCAACUGUAGAAUUGCCUUUGAUACUGGUUAUCUUGAGUCAUUAUGAAGUGGUUAGAAUGUGUAGUGUAGCGGUGAAAUGCAUUGAUAUUACACAGAAUACCGAUUGCGAAGGCAGAUCACUAAUAAUGUACUGACACUGAGGGACGAAAGCGUGGGGAGCGAACAGGAUUAGAUACCCUGGUAGUCC
rnacentral:rRNA from 1 species